UCAAGUGGCCUCCAGACUUCCAAGUGCCGGCUUUCACCACCCUGCCCCACCUUGCUCCCCCCUCAAGCUCCCAGCCUUCAUCUCCGGAUUGCCACUCUCCUUCACAGCUAAGGGAGAGCAGCACGAGAAAGAAAGAGGGAGGCAAGCGAAAUUCCUGAAUGGAUAGACAGAUGCUACGUCAUCGGAGCUGCAUCCUCCACUCCACAAGAGGCUAGGAGCCGGGAGAAAGAGCCAGGCCAGCGGCAGGGGCCACCGAGCCAGCGCUCCUCCUCCCAGAAGCCGGAGCGGAGCAUCGGAGAAGAAGCAGCCUCGUUUGUUUCUGGUGUCAUCGUAGGUGUCCACCUUUGGCUUUGGGGGAAAUUCCAUGAUCUUGCUUAUCCCUGUCUUGGAAAGUCCUUUCCAACGUCUAACCAAGAUCUGUACUGCUGAAGUACCAGUUCUUUGACCUUUGGCUUGACAUAGCUAAUUUGAGAGGUACAGCUUCCCACUACCCAGGAAGGAAGGAAUUGGCCUUGAUUUUGGCAACCUCCUGCUUGUGUAAGCCCUUUCUUAGCCAUUGUCUCGGUUGAUCACCCAAUGGUCCUGAAAAAUUGGUAAUGCUGUCCCCACUUUACAAAGGCAUAAUCGGAGCCCCAAGUCAGAGGACUAGGAAGUUGGGUUGGGCAUCAAAUGGGGCUUGGUGGAUUCCAGAGCACAUGCUGUCUCCCUGCCCUGUGCCGACUUCCUGCAGCACAUGUUCCAAACGCAGGCAGAGGGACUGAAAGGAGAAGAGGACCAGAUGGGCAGGGGGACUUCUCUGCAUGUUCUCAGGGGAGGAAGGCCACUCCUUCUCAGGUGCAGGAGUGAAGUCUGAGGAAUGCUCAAACAGUCCUUGCAGGUUGAAGAUGGGGCUGGGCAAGAAGCCACAGGAGCUGUAGAAGUCAACAAAAUCUUUUCAGACCCAAAAGAAAAACCUACUUCAUCCAGUUGGCUUGGGUGUCCUGUGAGAAGCCUUCCUGAUUGACUGAAAGAUGAGGCUAAGUUCUAACAAGUUGAGUGGCUCCUUCAAGAAGCCUGUGUGCAGGAUGGAAGUGGAGAGGCCAUAGCCUCCAGCCUGGGCAGCCCAUUGGCACCUGGAGCCACCUCAACUUUGCCUCCCCUUUGCUCCUGUGUCUACAAGCUGUCCAUCCCAGCCCACCCUGGUUUCUCCUGUGUCUUUUGAGCUGAGAUUUCUCUGAAAUGGAAGUCCCGUCUCAAGUCUAAUAAAGACUCUUGAUUACUGAA